GACAGAGGAUGCAAGCGUUAUCCGGAAUGAUUGGGCGUAAAGCGUCUGUAGGUGGCUUUUUAAGUCCGCCGUCAAAUCCCAGGGCUCAACCCUGGACAGGCGGUGGAAACUACCAAGCUGGAGUGCGGUAGGGGCAGAGGGAAUUUCCGGUGGAGCGGUGAAAUGCGUAGAUCUUGGAAAGACCACCAAUGGCGAAGGCACUCUACUGGGCCAUGACUGACACUAAGAGACGAAAGCUAGGGGAGCAAAUGGG
rnacentral:rRNA from 1 species